GAUGAACGCUGGCGGCGUGCCUAAUACAUGCAAGUCGAGCGAACGGACGAGAAGCUUGCUUCUCUGAUGUUAGCGGCGGACGGGUGAGUAACACGUGGAUAACCUACCUAUAAGACUGGGAUAACUUCGGGAAACCGGAGCUAAUACCGUAUAAUAUUUUGAACCGCAUGGUUCAAAAGUGAAAUACGGUCUUGCUGUCACUUAUAGAUGGAUCCACGCUGCAUUAGCUAGUUGGUAAGGUAACGGCUUACCAAGGCAACGAUGCAUAGCCGACCUGAGAGGGUGAUCGGCCACACUGGAACUGAGACACGGUCCAGGCUCCUACGGGAGGCAGCAGUAGGGAAUCUUCCGCAAUGGGCGAAAGCCUGACGGAGCAACGCCGCGUGAGUGAUGAAGGUCUUCGGAUCGUAAAACUCUGUUAUUAGGGAAGAACAUAUGUGUAAGUAACUGUGCACAUCUUGACGGUACCUAAUCAGAAAGCCACGGCUAACUACGUG
rnacentral:rRNA from 1 species